rnacentral:rRNA from 1 species
AACGUAGGUGGCAAGCGUUAUCCGGAAUUACUGGGCGUAAAGGGUGUGCAGGCGGGGAAGCAAGUGGUGUAUGAAAUCUCCCAGCUUAACUGGGAUAGGUUAUGCCAUACUGCUUUUCUAGAGGACGAGAGAGGGGGGUGGAAUUCCGGGUGUAGUGGUGAAAUGCGUAGAGAUCCGGAGGAACCCCAGAGGCGAAGGCGGCCCCCUGGACCGACACUGACGCUGAGGAGCGAAAGCCAGGGGAGCAAACGGG